rnacentral:lncRNA from 1 species
GGCAUAUGGAGAUUCCCAGGAGAGGGGUCGAAUUGGAUCUGUAGCUGCCAGCCUACACCAGAGCCACAGCAACGCAGGAUCAGAGCCGCGUCUGCGACCUACACCACAGCUCAUGGUAAUGCCGGAUCAUUAACCCACUGAGCAAGGGCAGGGAUCGAACCCGCAACCUCAUGGUUCCUAGUCAGAUUCAUUAACCACUGCGCCACGACGGGAACUCCAAAACAUUACUUUCUGUGAAGAAAAAAAAAAUCUGUAUAACUGAGUUUUGCUGCUUAACUUUUCAUCCUUUUUACAUAAGGGAUAAUUAGCAACUAAAAGGGAAAGGACAAACACUUAUUUUUAAUUUAAAAGUCAUGCUGUGAUGAGCUUUAAGAGGAAGUAAUUUGACUUGGAAUAUCAUUGUAGAGCUCAGGACACAGUCAAAGAUCAGACAACAAAAUAUCUUCAUAUUUUCCACUUGGCAUUCAAGCAAAUGUGAAGACUAGAUGAGUGAGUGUCCCAUGUCCCCCAGCUUUUUUUGACAAAUUUGACCACAGUCACACUGUCAUGGAUCCACAGUAAACAAUCCAAGUUAAGCAGUGGGCUAAUGCAGAAUGACCACCUGCUCAGUCGAAAGUUGGUAAUGCAGACUAUAUUGCAACCUCACUGAUAUCCAUCACAAAUUGAUUGAAUCAAGGCAGCCCUUCUAAAAAUGCAUAAUCUUUUCCACCACAUUCCUCACUCUUACAAUGUGUUGACAGACACCUGGCUUGGCAUUUGUAAGUUACCUAAAUAUGGUGAUUUAGUAGUCUGAAACAAAGAGUCAGUAUAAUAUUACUUCCAGCUUGGGAUAAAUAUAUUUUGCAAAUACAAAAUCCUGCUUCAUGUGGGAGGAAGACAUUUUAGAAUAAUGUCAAUUGAACUGUGUUGGCUGAUAUUCACUUUGUUUUCAACUGUGGGCAUAAACAAAUGAACAGAUUUAUUCCUUCUGUCACCAUUACCCGGACACAAGUCACAAUACUCUAGAAAGAACUUAGCACUUGGAAGAGUGCAUUAUAGAAUAAGAGUAAUAAUCCUUAUUUUUAAAGAUUUUAUAAUCAUUGGAGGUUUGCGAAUUGUAUGACUCAGGAGGUAUAUCAACAUAUGGAGAGCUUCCCCUAUCAUGGGCACUGACUGGGAUAUAUUUUAUUCAUAAUUCAGUCAACAAAUACAAAAGAAGUUCAAAGGGAAUCUCCAUAGCCGUUAAGGAUCUUUUAGGGCACUCUUUGGAUAGACAUUCUAAAUAUACUUUAAAUAUCAUUUUCCGCCUUUGGAUUUUGAAGGGAAUGCUUAAGAAUCUCUAGAUUUUAAAAGUUUUUGCCACUUAUAGAAGGCUAUUUUUCUUAAUCCUCUCAUCACACUCUAUAUUGAAACAGUUUUUUCAACCUAUGUACAUAUUAUAGACUAUUAUAAACAAGAGUAGUCUUGGAAGAGGCAGCAUCUUCAAAUUGGUAAGUGUAUUGCUACUGAUGCUUGAAACUGUAAAAGUUAAGUUCUAAGGACUGUACAAAAAAAAUAAUAUAUAAGGGGAAAGAAUGAAAAAAAUAGAUAUAUAUGUAUAUGUAAUUGAAUCACGUUGCUGUACACCUGAAACUAAUACAAUAUUGUAAAUCAACAAUACUUCAAUUUAAAAAAAUCACCCUAUAUUAUAAACACUAUUUAAAAUAAAAGAAUGAGGAAGGGAAACCUAGGAUGAAGACCUAUCCCAAAGCAGUGUAACGUUGAUCUCUGGCAGGAUGUCAGAGCAGUUAAAAAGCAGGGCUCUGGACUCACAUCCUCUGGCUUCCAAGCUCCACUCUGCUUUUCUCUGUGCAUUAGUUUUCUCAUAUUUUUAACAGCUAGGUAAGAAUUGGAAAAGAAAUGCAAUGUACUGUUUGAUAUUUUAUAAAUGCAUACAAUGGAACAAAAAGAUUAAAAAUACAUGAAAACAUAUACUCAAGAAUGUAUGACCACAAUUUUAAUAGUAUACUUUAGCUAGUUGCCUAUUUGCUUAAGAAAUAUUAUCUAGUACUAACUAUGCAUCAGGCAUUGUGAGGUCUUAAAAGACAUAGUCCCUAUCUCCCACCUUGUAGCUUUUGGAGAAGGAAGAAGAGGAACAGCAAGAACAAUGUUCUCUCUAUUAGUGCUAUGAGAGAGAUGAGAGAAGACAAACUUUUCAGGCAAUUUAUCCUGUACUCCAGACUAGAGUAGAGAGGCAAGAAAUGUCAGAGAGGCUUCAUUGUCCUAUGAAGUGGUUCAGCAUUUAACCUUAGUAAUGGGGAACAUUUGAAGAAUGUUUUCCAUCCCACUAUGUACUUUGAGAGGAUGGAAUGGAGGAAGGCUUAAGUGAGGCAGAGAAAUCACUUAGCUGGCCAUUUCCAGAACCCAUGAUCUGGGAGGGAGCUGAGUGCUCUGAACUAAGGCAGUGGAGCUGGGCUAGGGAAGAGGAAGAAAAUUAGAGAGACAUUAGGGUGAAAGACUAUAUAUAGAAUUGCUGUCACUAAUUGAGUUGAAUGGUUAAGGGAGAAAUAGAGAGUAUAUUCUUGGGUUACUUGAUGUAGUCAACUGGGUGGAUGGAUAUGCCACUGAAGAUGAAGAACAUGGAAGAAUGAAGUGGAUGGAGGUAAGAAGGGGCUGUCUCCAGAUUUGCAUCUACUUAGGCAGAAAUGCAGAGGUAAAUUUCUUCAAAAGAAGUUUAAUGGAUAGUAGAACACAUCUGCCUACUACACAGAAGAAAGGUCUGGAUUAGAAAUGCAGAUAUGGGAGUUAUAAAAAUGGUAGUUUCAGCCAUGAGAGCCAUAUUUUCACCCAAAGAGAGGGGGUGAAAUGGGACAAAAACAAAGAGAAGUGAUGAGGAACCCCAACAUAUAACAGAUAGAAAUGGAAACCAGCCAACAACUGUCAAGAGUAACUACGAGAAAUCUGGGACAAAACAGUCUCGAUGGUACCAAAGAAAGAGGUGUUACAAGAAGAGGAAAUGUUCUCUAGGAACGAACUCAGCACAGAAGCUUAGCAGGUUGACAAAUUAAGUAUGUUAUUUGAUAUGAGCAACUGGGAAGCCAUGGACAAUGUUGGGAAAAAGAUAUCUGCUUGGGGUGCAGAGGUGAUUGUCCAGAGCAAAGGUGUAGAGGUGUGGAAGUUCUGGGAGGAGGAGUUGCUCUUUAUAGAAGUUUGACAGAGUAACAGUUAAAGGGAGACACAUGGCCAAGUAAGGCUCUUGUUUCUGAUCUUCUGGCUCUUAGAUUUGAGAUUUAAACAUGUUUGCCUGCUGAUAGAAAAAGGAUAUAUGGAAAGAGUGGACAACUUUUGGAGCAAAAUGUGAUAGGAUCCAGACAACAGAAGUACAGGUAUACACAAAGAGAGGGUGGCGGUCUGGGGUACAGUUUGCUGGAGAUGAGUAGUAGUUUGAGGUGGUCGUGACUGCCUUUUUUUUAUGAAAUAGAAAAGGAUGCUUGUCUUCAAAAAGUGAUGAUGAAGAAAUCCUGUAGAGGAUUUGAAGAGAGGGUUGAUUAAAAGAAUCGAAGGAAAGAAGAGGAAAGGAACCAGAGGAAAGGCGUGCUGGUUAACAUUCAAGCCCAGAUGGGAUGGCUUUGGAAUGGUGGCACCAAGCCUCAUGCUAGGCGAGAACUCGGAUCUGGGCUGUCUAAUCAAGAAGGUGAUAGGAAUGGAGUAGGCACAGGUAGUUGUAGAAAUCCCAAUAAAGGACCAUAGUUAAAGAGGGAAACUUAGGGGACAUUGAGAGAUCACUUUAAUAACUGCUCAAAAAAGCCAUCAGAACAAGGCAGGCUUGCUUGACUAUUGGAAAUGUGAGAAUUUCGUCAGGUCAUUGGGUGGGGGAUGGGAUGAGGCCUGAAUUGAGAUUCAGACCAAGGGCAGGAGUUUGAGGACUGCCUUUCUGCUGAUCUGAAUACACACCUUACCGGAUACCAAAGAGGAGCUAGUACUGCCAGAAAGUAGGAGGCGGUCUUUUCUGAGUCCUACUCCCCUUGGAGGAUAAAACUAUAGCUCACCCGAUCCUGGGAGCAGAGACUUCUUGCCUGCCUGCUUGCAUCUCUCAUAAGCGUCCUAUCUUAAUACAUCUAUUUCUGNGGUCUAUCACUGUGUCUCUCACUGAAUUCCUUCUGUGCAGAGGCAUGAAGAACCUGAACAUCAGGGAGUCCAGACACAGGGUGAGUGAUUCUAAUUUAAAACCAUGGGUUUAAGUCCCAAUCUGGGUUUAGACCAGGUUCGAGUCCCGGCACAUGGGUUCAAGGCCCAAUCUGUGUUCUGGCUAGGUUCAGGCCAUUAGUACUAUCAGUUUCAAAGGCUGUAUAAAUAGAACCACUUAGAGGGGCAGAAUCCAUACCACAUAGCAGAGUGGACACUCUGGGAUAAGUGGCUAAGAAUUUGGGCAGUGCUCUUAUGGAGGAAACCAUAUGUCUCCCCCAGUCUCAACACCCCUGAAUGACCUCAGAAGAGCUAUGGCUGAGUAUACCUGGCCCACCCUUUCCUAAUCCACACAGCAUACAUGCCUUUCUUAAGAAACAUCAAUUAUUUCUGACUCAAACCUAUUUCUUCACUUUUUUUUUUCUUUUUAGGCCACACCUGCAGCAUAUGGAAGGUCCCCAGCUAGAGGUCCAAUCAGAGCUAUAGCUGCAGGCCUACACCACAGCCACAGCAACUCAGAAUCCAAGCCACGUCUGUGACCUAUGCCACAGCUCAUAGCAAUGCCGGAUCCUUAACCCACUGAGCAAGGCCAGGGAUUGAGCCCACAUCCUUGUGGAUACUAGUCAGGCUCGUUAACUGCUGAGCCAUGAAGGGAACUCCCUAUUUCUUCACUUUUGAAGGCAGGGAAAGAUCAUCUAGUCUUAAGCUCAGGAAGGUGUUUAUUGGCAUCAUAUUAACCCUUUAGUGACAUAUAGUUCACUGAUAUCUUUAUAUUUGAGGAUAAGGCCUUGUGAAAAAUCAUACUCCCUUGCAGAUGUCUCAUUGUAUGUCUCGCAAGCAGAGAAAUUUGAAUGUUCAAUAUGCCAGGCUGUAUGCUUUCUUUUCUGUUAUUACAUUAUACUUCAGAUCCAUAUUUUUGUCUGGCUUGCUUAAAGACAUUUAGAAAUUUAUUGCAUUCAUCUUUUUCUUUUUCAUCCAAGGCAGCAUCCUCAAGAGGAACAGGACAGAAUAGUAAAUCCUAGAAACAGAGGAAUCCUAGGCUAGCAUCCUAGCUCUACCACUUAUGACUGGGUAUCAUCUAACUAGCCACAUAACUCUUUAAGCCUCAGACUUCCUUCUUGUAUAGGAAAAAAGACUUGUCUAGAUAUUAUGAUAACUUCCAGUUCUAAAAUAUUUUGUAAGAGAGAAAUCUUACUUUGUUAAAGACAAUAUGAAGUGUAACAGUAAAAGUCAAACAGUCAAGAACAUCUGCAAUCAGGGUAGGUAGCAGGCUGUGCCCAUGUGUUCUAAAAGCCUAGUCCUGACACCAGAGUUUUACACUGCAACAGCAUAAUCAUUCCUACCAGCAUGUUCCAUUAAAGCUUGACUUACUGCCAGGGAAUUCACCUGCUGACACAGUAAAACUCCUAACUGGAAGCAUUAACAUUGCAAUGUCAGAUGGGGAAAAAAAAAUGUUCAUAAAUUCCACGAACGUGCACUGCUUUACUUGAGGUCCUGGUUGCAAACUCAUUAUUUAUGCUGUGUACAGUAGGCCAUCAACAGAUCCCACUGGGAAAUUAGUUUGCAAUUUAGAAUCGUUUCAAAGUACAAGUGAUUCUCAAGUCAUUUUCCGAGGUUAAAUGAGAACUCUUAUUGCUUUCCGUGGGCUCAGAGGGAAUUUUUACUCUGUGUGUUCCCUCCUCCCCCAGCUCCUGCUACACUGUCUUGAUUUUUCUUUCUUAAAUGCGCUUUGGUGCUAAAUCUCUCUUUUUCAAUUUUUGAAAGCUGGUAAAUGGAAUGGUAUUUGUUGCAUUUUCUUGCUUGCUGGGACUCCUUAAGCACCUCACUUUUGAUUACUGCUUUUAUUCUUUGAAGACUCCUGAGAGGUUUCCCUGUGCUCUA